rnacentral:misc_RNA from 1 species
GAUGAAGAACGCAGCGAAAUGCGAUAAGUAGUGUGAAUUGCAGAAUUCAGUGAAUCAUCGAAUCUUUGAACGCACAUUGCGCCCCUUGGUAUUCCAUGGGGCAUGCCUGUUCGAGCGUCAUUUGUACCUUCAAGCUUUGCUUGGUGUUGGGUGUUUGUCCCGAGGGACUCGCCUUAAAGUAAUUGGCAGCCAGUGUUUGGUUUUGAAGCGCAGCACAAGUCGCGAUUCAAGGCUACACGCCCGCUUCCACAAGCCUUUUUUCACUGUUGACCUCGGAUCAGGUAGGGAUACCCGCUGAACUUAAGCAUAUCAAUAAGCGGAGGA